rnacentral:lncRNA from 1 species
AUACAGCGAAGCUUCAAAGCACGAAAAAGAUGAACUCGAAACACCAGUGACUGGAGGAACCAUGACAACACAAACAAGAAGCAAACAAGGAAGAAAAAGCAUAAUCCAGGCUUUUGUGUUUUGAAUUGUGGAUUUGAAAUUGCGGCUCCUGUGGCUGCUGACAGCCUGCCUUGAUGCCGCUGAUGUCUGGGUGAUGAACAGUCAUGGGUUUCCUCCCACCUGCCUCUGUGGAUUAAUGAAGAGCAAGGCAGGAAUGGCAGACCUGCCAUCUAGAAUGACCUUACCUGAUAAGAUUGUUCUGCCUUCCCCGCCAAAGGUGAGGAGGGCUUUCAGGAUGCAGGAGACUGUUUUCCCCACACCUUAAUGAGAAAAAUUGACCUGUUUAUUCACCAGCUGUCUUCUUUGUUUAUAAUCCAAGCAAUUGCUGCAAAAUCCUUUUCACUUCUUCCACGUUGAAAUCGAGCAGAAAGCCCCUCGAGUGUGGCUUAUCUUUGGCAGACAUAAGGAAUCAGGUUGGAGGAGUCACACAGACUCACUGGGAGACACAUGGAAUUGGGAGACCAGCAAAUAGUUACACACUGUGUUCAAGAUCCAUUCUUAGAAGGGAGCCCACUCCAUUAUGAGAAAGAACUUCAAGCAAAUUUGAAUCUUUCUUCACUGAGUUCUAACAUUCUCCAGACCUGUAUUGUGGAAGCUCUUCCUAAAGUCCAUUUGUGCUUCCUGGCUAAGUGUGGAAUGACUGCGCUGCUAUAUCCCAUCAUGGGCAAAGGGUACCUGCUAUGAAGGGCGAACUGGCAUCAGCCUAAGUCUUCAUUAAGAACAAGGUGAAAUUGGGAAAUUCCAACUUAUUGCCUGGAAAAUUGCCUCGGCAUGCCAGCUCCCUUGAAAGCAAUUUUGAAGUGGGUGGAUGCACAAAAGCCCCCUGUCUUCGGAAAUUUAAGUCUGCAAGAUUAUUUUACAACAACAUGUAUUGAUAAGAAAGGAAUUUCUCCAGAGUGGGAUACAGCAAAUAAGAUGGUGGUUGUAUAUUUCCUCACAUGACUAUUUUAUGUUUAUUUAAAGCCCAUUCUGUCACUGGAAUUAAUCUCUGUCACCCCUGCUAUUCCUCCUCUGCCAAUAUCCAUUUUUAAAAAUUCACUGGUGGAGUUGAGAGUGAAAUGCAUUUUAGGCUUAAUUUAAAAAAUAGAUAAAAGUCUCCAGGUGCAAAUGCAAG